rnacentral:rRNA from 1 species
UACGUAGGGUGCGAGCGUUGUCCGGAAUUAUUGGGCGUAAAGAGCUUGUAGGUGGCUCGUCGCGUCGGGAGUGAAAACCCGGGGCUCAACCCCGGGCCUGCAGCCGAUACGGGCAGACUAGAGUUCGGCAGGGGAGACUGGAAUUCCUGGUGUAGCGGUGAAAUGCGCAGAUAUCGGGAGGAACACCGGUGGCGAAGGCGGUUCUCUGGGCCUUACCUGACGCUGAGGAGCGAAAGCGUGGGGAGCGAACAGG